rnacentral:rRNA from 1 species
UACGUAGGUGGCAAGCGUUGUCCGGAUUUAUUGGGCGUAAAGAGCGUGUAGGCGGUUUGGUAGGUCCGCUGUGAAAACUCGAGGCUCAACCAUCGAGACGCCGGUGGAAACCAUCAGACUAGAGUCCGGAAGAGGAGAGUGGAAUUCCUGGUGUAGCGGUGAAAUGCGUAGAUAUCGUAAGGAAGACCAGUGGCGAAGGCGGGUCUCUGGACAGUUCCUGACGCUGAGGCACGAAGGUCAGGGGAGCAAACGGGG